CCUACGGGAGGCAGCAGUGAGGAAUAUUGGUCAAUGGGCGUAAGCCUGAACCAGCCAAGUCGCGUGAGGGAUGAAGGUUCUAUGGAUCGUAAACCUCUUUUAUAAGGGAAUAAAGUGUGGGACGUGUCCUGCUUUGUAUGUACCUUAUGAAUAAGGAUCGGCUAACUCCGUGCCAGCAGCCGCGGUAAUACGGAGGAUCCGAGCGUUAUCCGGAUUUAUUGGGUUUAAAGGGUGCGUAGGUCGUUUUUUAAGUCAGCGGUGAAAGGUUGUGGCUCAACCAUAACAUUGCCGUUGAAACUGGAGGACUUGAGUGUGUUUAAGGUAGGCGGAAUGCGUGGUGUAGCGGUGAAAUGCAUAGAUAUCACGCAGAACUCCGAUUGCGAAGGCAGCUUACUAAGCCAUAACUGACACUGAAGCACGAAAGCGUGGGGAUCGAACAGGAUUAGAUACCCUUGUAGUC
rnacentral:rRNA from 1 species